CUUCAAUUUCCUGGAAAGGAAAACAACCCCAGUUCUUGAAUGGGCAAAAAAGAGAGUGAAAUUUAACACACACACCCGCCCAGCCCCAUGGCUGCAGCUGGGGGUCCCAUCCAUGAGGGCCUCUGCGAGGAAGACACUUGCGCCAUCUGCCUGGAGUAUUCAAGGGAUCCAGAGAUGAUCCCCAAUUGUGGGCACAACUUUUGCAGAGCCUGCCUGAGCCAGUUCUGGGGGGAGUUGGAAACUGGGGCCUCGUGUUCUGUCAGCCUCAGACUUUCCGCUUGAAAAAUGAGGACGAUAAAAGUGACUUAACGUGCAGGGUCCCUGUAAGGAUUCUGUGCAGAUAAUGUGCUUGAAGUGCUUUGAUCACCUGAAAGAACAGGUGGUUUCAAGAAUUAUUACUGAGAACUUGUGGAGCAUCCCGAACGCAGGGCAUUGAGCGGGAAUGAAAUUUCUCUCAUGGGUGUAAAGAAAAGUUCAUCUCUGAGCUCCUGCUGUUUCUGUCCUCUCUCCUCGUUUGCCCCCCAGAAAACGCAACUUUGGAUCCAGCCAACUUUGGAUCCUGCCUCAUCCUGUCUGAGGAUCAAGAGAGUGUGGGAGAUGGAGAUGCGGAUCCAGAUCUCCCAAACAAUCCUGAGAGAUUCGACACAAACGUCCCCAUGUGCUGGGGAAAGGGGGGAUCACAGCGGGCAGACAUUUUUGGAAGGUCAUUGUAGGGAGUGAGGGGCAUUGGGCUGUUGAGGGGGGGCAGGAAGUCUAUGAAGAGGAAGGGCACGUUAGCUUCUUGUCCUGAGGAUAGGAUCUGGGAGGUGGGGAAAUGGGAAGGAGAAUAGGGCCCUCCUUCCCUCCUGAUGACCCUGCUCUGUCCUUGCGCGAGGAGCCCAAGAGGGUCCGAGGGACUCUGAACUCUCACCUGUCCUUUCACGAUGCAGAUCCAGCAGCCCUUCUCUUGGCAACACGAGAACGGGGCCUUCUCUGCAGUGGCUCCCCAUCUGUGGAAUGCUCUCCCCAGGGAAGUUCACCCGGCGUGUUCAUUAGACACAUUUAGGCAUCAGGCAAAAACGUUCCUUUUUAAUCAGGUGUUCGUUUGACCUGUUUGACAUACUAUAUCCUUUUAAAAUGUGGCACUUUUGGGGCGGUGUUAUUGGGUUGUUGUUUUAUUCUGAUCAUAUAUGUUGUGAUUUUUUCCUGUGAACCGCCCUGAGACCUCCAGGUAUAUGGCAGUAUAUAAAUAAUAAUAAUAAUAAUAAUAAU